rnacentral:rRNA from 1 species
AUAUCAAUAAGCGGAGGAAAAAGAAACUAACAAGGAUUCCCCUAGUAACUGCGAGUGAAGCGGGAAAAGCUCAAAUUUAAAAUCUGGCAGAUGCUUGUCUGUCCGAGUUGUAACCUAGAGAAGUGUAACCUGUGCUGGACCAUGUACAAGUCUCCUGGAAUGGAGCAUCAUAGAGGGUGAGAAUCCCGUCUUUGACAUGGACUACCAGUGCACUGUGGUUGUGCACUCGACGAGUCGAGUUGUUUGGGAAUGCAGCUCUAAAAUGGGUGGUAAAUUCCAUCUAAAGCUAAAUAUUGGCGAGAGACCGAUAGCGAACAAGUACCGUGAGGGAAAGAUGAAAAGAACUUUGGAAAGAGAGUUAAACAGUAU